ACGUAGGGGGCGAGCGUUGUCCGGAAUCACUGGGCGUAAAGGGUCCGUAGGCGGCCCUAUAAGUCUCACGUCAAAGCCCCAGGCUCAACUUGGGAUCGGCGCGGGAUACUGUCGAGCUUGAGGAUGGCAGAGGUGAGUGGAACGUUGCGAGUAGCGGUGAAAUGCAUAGAGAUGCAGCGGAACACCAAUGGCGAAGGCAGCUCGCUGGGCCAUCCCUGACGCUGAGGCACGAAAGCCAGGGUAGCAAACGG
rnacentral:rRNA from 1 species